CUUCCACAACCUUAACCUUAAUCUCUACCUGAUGUGUGUAAUGAUUACAUCUGCUUAUCUUGGCUAUUGAAACAAAACAGUACUUAAAAGUAUUUUUGGCUAGCCUACGGAAGACUGCAGUGAGCACGCAUGUCUUCAUACUGAUAAUAGUGAUAAAAGCACCAACUGCGACAUUGUGAGUGAAGUUGGAUUCCAGACUAGAUGCUGGACACUAUUCACUGUCAUUACAUGGAAGAGUGCGAUCGGGAGUAAAGAACCUAGGUCGCGAGUAAAGAACCUAUGGCCUUAGAACAACACCAGGUUUCAGGUGAAACAGGAAGCUGUAUUCAGCACUGGAUGAUCAACCUUGAGGGCACAUCAUUUGUGAGGGCAUCCAGUCGGCUUUUGUGUCUGGGCUUGCUGCUGUUUUUUUCUACUUUCUACAAUCUCAAUCUUCAAUACCAAGCUGAGGCAGCAUGCACACUGGAAUUCAUUCAAAGGCGGUUCAUCGGGAUAAAUCCAGAAAAAGGCACCAAUGCUGUAGGAGUCAUAUCAAAGCGGACAUGGGAAGGUCACCCAAAAAAAAAAACAGUCAACCCUCGUGUCUCCAGUCUGCUUAAAAAAAUUAUGGAAUUUGAGUGGGACUUUCUAAAAGUAUUACACACACACACACACACACACACACACACACACACACACACACACACACACACACACACACACACACACACACACACACACACACACGUUUUCUUGCAUCCUUAUUUUUGCAGGUAUUCAUUCAAAAUCAGGUGAAUAGAGUCAUUCACUAUGUUUGAAUCCAGAGUUCAUUUUUUGGACAGUAUACUUAUUAGUAAUUUGUUAAAGACUUGUUAAAGUAAUUCAGAAUCUGAUUUGCGGAGCAUCUUGUUUAUUUCUGUUUGUUGUGACUUCUAACCCUUAAAGAGCUGAAAUUUUAGUUAUUUCAUUACAUGUCCUUUAUGCUUUUUUCCCCAAAACAAUUUCACAAGUUUAAUAAAAAAGAUUGUU